rnacentral:rRNA from 1 species
UGGGGAAUUUUGCACAAUGGGGGAAACCCUGAUGCAGCGACGCCGCGUUCAUUAGAAGGCCUUCGGGUUGUAAAAAUCUUUUGUAUGGGAAGAAAAUGACAGUACCAUACGAAUAAGGACCGGCUAAUUACGUGCCAGCAGCCGCGGUAAUACGUAAGGUCCGAGCGUUGUCCGGAAUCAUUGGGCGUAAAGGGUACGUAGGCGGAUAAGCAAGUUAGAAGUGAAAUCCUAUAGCUCAACUAUAGUAAGCUUUUAAAACUGCUCAUCUUGUGGUAUGGAAGGGAAAGUGGAAUUCCUGGUGUAGCGGUGAAAUGCGCAGAUAUUAGGAGGAAUACCGGUGGCGAAGGCGACUUUCUGGCCAUAUACUGACGCUGAGGUACGAAAGCGUGGGUAGCAAACAGG